rnacentral:rRNA from 1 species
ACGCUCGACACCUACUGGAGGCAGCAGUCGGGAAUAUUGCGCAAUGGAGGAAACUCUGACGCAGUGACGCCGCGUAUAGGAAGAAGGUUUUCGGAUUGUAAACUAUUGUCGUUAGGGAAGAAAAAGGACAGUACCUAAGGAGGAAGCUCCGGCUAACUACGUGCCCGCAGCCGCGGUAAUCUGAGCGGGCUGGCAAGGC